GUCACUAUAUUCCAGCGUUUUAGUUUUCAAGCCGUAUUAUUCGUUCAGUUGCGUUUUAACUUUCAUUAAUAUGGAGUGAUUUUUUGCGGAAGUUUUCUAGACAUUUACAUGGACUUGUGAAGAAAAGUGAACUGUGUAAAAUGCAACGGUUCAUAGGUCAAAGGUCAUUUCCAAAAACAUCACCUAAUUUGAAAGAGAAAGAUUCAGGAAUGGCGUAAGAAGGAGUGAUGCGGGACACUUGCGGAGCGGUCUGCUUAUGCGAAUGUAUUGAUCGGAGUACUGGUGCAUCCCUUGAUUAGACAACUUCCAAAAUGAUAUUCAGACAAUUCAAAAAAGCUGGACCUCGUAAUGGAGAAAACUUGAACGAUGAAACGAUGAACAGACAUACCACAAAAGAAAAUUAUCUUUAAACAUAUUUAUUCAAAAAAACUUGAAUAGCAGAAGACACACGAAGACAGAACGAAGUAUAGCGUAUAAAUCCAGUAAACUGAUUUGACUGACACAUUCUUAACAUAGCAAUGUUAGAAUCCGAUGAAGAUAUUAAUCUAAGCAGAUCAAACGCCUUUUUCAAGUAAAUUCUCCAGGAAAAACAAUGAAGAUUGAACGAACUACGUGAACAAAGUGUCAAAGUGAGAAAGUGAUACUUAAGCAUCUUUCGCCCACAUAGGAACACAACUUGUAACCGAAUGAUUUAAAUCAAGUUCUUAAACUGUCUAAGUUAAGUUCUUAAAUUAAAUUUUUAAACCAGAA